GGGGGGGGGGGGGGGGGGGGGGGGGGGGGGGGGGGGGGGGGGGGGGGGGGGGGGAGCUGGGGCUGGGGGGGGGCGGGUGGCGGGCGGGUGAGGGGUGCAGCGGAGUCUACUUUUGCGGGGGGGAUAACGUGGGGAAACGUACGCGACUACCGCAUACGCCCUACGGGUGAAAGCGGGGGCUCUUCGGACCUUGCGCGACUGAAUGAGCCGAUGUCGGCUUAGCUAGUUGGCGGGGGCAAGGCCCACCAAGGCGACGAGCCGUAGCUGGUCUGAGACGAUGAUCGGCCACACUGGAGCGGAGACACGGUCCAGACUCCUACGGGAGGCAGCAGUGGGGAAUAUUGGACAAUGGGCGCAAGCCUGAUCCAGCCAUACCGCGUGGGUGAAGAAGGCCUUCGGGUUGUAAAGCCCUUUUGUUGGGAAAGAAAAGCAGCAGGUUAAUACCCCGCUGUUCUGACGGUACCCAAAGAAUAAGCACCGGCUAACUUCGUG
rnacentral:rRNA from 1 species